rnacentral:rRNA from 1 species
UGAGGAAUAUUGGUCAAUGGGCGGAAGCCUGAACCAGCCAAGUAGCGUGAAGGAUGACUGCCCUAUGGGUUGUAAACUUCUUUUAUGCGGGGAUAAAGUUCGCCACGUGUGGCGUUUUGCAGGUACCGCAUGAAUAAGGACCGGCUAAUUCCGUGCCAGCAGCCGCGGUAAUACGGAAGGUCCAGGCGUUAUCCGGAUUCAUUGGGUUUAAAGGGAGCGUAGGCCGCCUUUUAAGCGUGUUGUGAAAUGUAGGGGCUCAACCCCUGCACUGCAGCGCGAACUGGAGGGCUUGAGUACACACAAAGUAGGCGGAAUUCAUGGUGUAGCGGUGAAAUGCUUAGAUAUCAUGAAGAACCCCGAUUGCGAAGGCAGCUUACUGGAGUGUAACUGACGCUGAAGCUCGAAAGCGCGGGUAUCGAACAGG